rnacentral:snRNA from 1 species
AUACUUAGCUGACAAGGGAGAUACCAUGAACAUGAAGGGAUUUUUUUCCCUCCAGUUGAGACUCAUUCAUUAUAAUGUGGGUAUGCUGAUCCAUGUAAUUUCCCCAAAUGUGGAAAAACUUGACUACAUAAUUUAUAAUGGAGGAGUGUGUUCAUGCCUACUCCUG